rnacentral:rRNA from 1 species
CCUACGGGAGGCAGCAGUGGGGAAUAUUGCACAAUGGGCGCAAGCCUGAUGCAGCCAUGCCGCGUGUGUGAAGAAGGCCUUCGGGUUGUAAAGCACUUUCAGCGGGGAGGAAGGUGGUGUGGUUAACAGCCACAUCAAUUGACGUUACCCGCAGAAGAAGCACCGGCUAACUCCGUGCCAGCAGCCGCGGUAAU